rnacentral:misc_RNA from 1 species
UGUGGGAGCGAGCCUGCUCGCGAUGACGUCGGUACAUUCAGCAUUGAUGCAAACUGAGCCACCGUUAUCGCGAGCAAGCUCGCUCCCACA